rnacentral:rRNA from 1 species
GAUGAACGCUGGCGGCGUGCCUAAUACAUGCAAGUCGAGCGAACAGACGAGGAGCUUGCUCCUCUGACGUUAGCGGCGGACGGGUGAGUAACACGUGGAUAACCUACCUAUAAGACUGGGAUAACUUCGGGAAACCGGAGCUAAUACCGGAUAAUAUAUUGAACCGCAUGGUUCAAUAGUGAAAGACGGUUUUGCUGUCACUUAUAGAUGGAUCCGCGCCGCAUUAGCUAGUUGGUAAGGUAACGGCUUACCAAGGCAACGAUGCGUAGCCGACCUGAGAGGGUGAUCGGCCACACUGGAACUGAGAAACGGUCCAGACUCCUACGGGAGGCAGCAGUAGGGAAUCUUCCGCAAUGGGCGAAAGCUUGACGGAGCAACGCCGCUGGAGUGAUGAAGGUCUUCGGAUCGUAAAACGCUGUUAUUAGGGAAGAACAAAUGUGUAAGUAACUAUGCACGUCUGGACGGUACCUAAGCAGAAAGCCACGGCUAACUACGU